UGGAGAUGGGAUGGCAGUGGGGAUGGUGAUGAGGACAGCACUGCUGCCCAGGGCCUCUAGUGCAGAGGUGGCACUGGGAGGACAGUGGUCCUUCAGAUGGCAUGUGCAGUUUGCAAUGGGAGGUGGGAAAACACUUCACAAAUGUAGGCACGACGGCAGCCCCGCAGCCCCUCUCCUCACCUCACCCCAGAGCUGCAGCUGCUCCCUUUGGGCUUCCUGCAGCAACACGUCCCAGCUCCCAGAGGUCUGCCAAAGCCCGGGGAUUAAUGCUUUAUCUGCGGAGGUUUUGGGGCUGAGGAGGUUUUUCUUCCCUCGCAGCUGCGCUCCACACGAAGCUCUGGGCUCCAUUUCCCAGCUCAGCCCCACGCUCCCCCCGCAGCCUUUCUUUCCCAAAGACCAGCAGCCAACCCAGGAGGGGUGGGGACCCCUGGCCCCCUAUUUCACCCCGUUUCCC
ensembl:lncRNA